UAUAACCCAGUAUUUUUUAGAAUGUAAAUAGGAUCCAUGUGCUUCAUCACAGAGUGACAUCAGAGUGACCUCACAAUCUUUUUUUUUUUUGGAUAAAUAUUUAGUCUAAUCCCUUUCAACGCCACACCUCUAAAGCAAUGCUCUUACACUGACCUCUUCAUUAUAACACAUUUAUUUUAAUAUAAGCUUGAUGCACUGCUUUGGAAAACCUCAUAAUUAACUUUCAUUUGCUUCUUUAUAUAUCAAAGGUCUGCUGAUUCAAUAAAAAAAAACAUUUACAUGCUUUUUAUUUACAUAAUUAUUUCUUCAUCUUCUCUCCUGCUCAUAUCUUCUUAAUUAAGCUAAAUGAAAUAAUUACCUAUUUAAACCUCACAUUUCAAUUUAAUAUAAUUCACACCUCUGCUGUUGCUCCCAGUAGACAAAACUAAAGUUAGAUAGAUAGAUAGAUAGAUAGAUAGAUAGAUAGAUAGAUAGAUAGAUAGAUAGAUAGAUAGAUAGAUAGAUAGAUAGCACCUCAGAAGAGACCAUAGCCAACACGUCACUGUAAGACCCAAUACAUACGUUACGUUGACAGAUAUACUAGGCACCCAAGAUUAUCAUUGCUCCAACUGCAUCACUCCUCAGAUUAUCCUACAAACCCACAACAGAAGAAAUAUAAAGGUCCAGAGGCAGUAACAGAGAAAACAUCUGGUGACGUUCCUUGAGUACAUUCCUUGGAUGUGAAAAUGUCACUUGAAGUAAUAGAGGAUGAAAGUAGGCUACAGAGUCCAAAUACUUUUAUAAAACACUUGGUAGCUCCGCCCCAUUCUCAAAACCACACCUUCCUCAUUCCACAGAUUUAAAAAAAAACAUCUCCUGUUAUGUUUAACACAGGUUGCUGGCAUCAUCUUGUCUUCUGCCGUGGCCGACCAGAGUCAAAAUACAGCCUAAUGCACACGACUCCCCCUUCCCCAGACAUUCCCAAACUUACACAACUAUCUCACUCAACCUUGGCCACUGCUGUUGUGUAAGUCCAUGGAUUCCAAAGGAUGGAGUCACAGGGCUGUUGUAAAACUUACUGGCAAGAGGGUGUUUCUGUGUUUCUCCUCUUCCCUUGUCUCCCAUUUAUCAAAACCAUGUGUUUGACUGGGGAAAGAGACACGUGGCAUGGAGAAGAAUGGAAAAACAAACGUGAAAAGGAGGGAUUUACAGAAAGAGAGCGCAGUCUAAAUUCAAAACAUUGGAGAUGAUUUUACCAUGCCCCCCUCCUCCUCCUGUUGGGUGACAUGGGUUGCCAGACACCUACAGGAGUGCAGCUGACGAUGGAAAGCAUCGAUUCUUACACAAAUAGGACGGAGAUGGAGCCAGGGACAGAGUAAGAUAUUUAGAGGAACAGUGAGAGAUCAGGUCAUUAAACGGAAAGAGAAGGUGUUGGGACGCUCUGGCUACAUGGAAAGAGUGAGGGAGAAGAGAGGCGUGCUUUCCGCAAACAUCUGGAAAUCAUCAUGCAUAAAAAAAUCUUGGACCGCAAACUCCCUUUAAGCUACAAGAGAACACAGAGUUCCCACUCUGCUGUGAGUUCACACACAGACACUAAAAGAGAAAUCAAAAUGAUAAACAGCUGCAAGGAAAAAUUCACCCACUCACUACCGCCCCCACAGGGAACUGGUGGUACUGCAUGAGUCACAUCAAAUUAAAAUGCAGGGUUAUUUAUGGGUUCAGUUAAGCCAUGAAAACGGUAAAU